rnacentral:rRNA from 1 species
CCCGACUACAUGAAGCUGGAAUCGCUAGUAAUCGCGGAUCAGAAUGCCGCGGUGAAUACGUUCCCGGGUCUUGUACACACCGCCCGUCACACCAUGGGAGUCGGAAAUGCCCGAAGUCUGUGACCCAACCUUAGGGAGGGAGCAGCCGAAGGCAGGUCGGAUGACUGGGGUGAAGUCGUAACAAGGUAAC